CCCUCUGGAAGCAAAAAGAGAAACGACUCCAAUCACCGUCUAUAUCUUAUUGCAUUGAGAGAUAGCAGGUGUUUAGGCUGCAGCUAUUGUCUGCCUUCCUCCCUGAGCUCACAUAACAAGGAUGAAAGAGUCUAAGGAACUUAGUUUCCCCAAACGCUCUUGCAUAGGAGGGCGGGGAAACUUCGGAAUCAAGGACUUAAAGAAAUGCAAUUGAGUCCCAACUCGCAAAGUGUGUCAGUCUCCAUGUGGUUCCGUCCUUCCGCCGUCACUGUCUAGUCUCAUCUAGUGUCGUUCUUCUGCUUUCUGUAGAUCUCUAGGAACUCAGGAUUCCCUGCCGCUUAGCCGUCGAGCUCCCGACCCCUCCGCAUCCCUAGCCGGGAAGGACUGAGAGCUGAGCUCCAAGGUCGUGGUCUGGUCCUCAGGGAUGAGGUCCCGGGUCCAGACUCUUUCCUUGGUCAGCAACUCCUGCUUAGAAGCUCCCCGCCCCGAAUGGAAUCGUGACCUGGCGCUAGGUCCCCCGCUGGGAGUGCCCGAGGCUUUCCUGAAGGCCCCAGGCCUUCAGGCCGCCAGGGUCCUAAGGUGCCUGUGGCGGCCCCUCGUCCGCCUGAGCCCUGAGAUCAGCGCGGCCCUCGGUGCUGCAGGGCCCCAGGGCGGCCAGGAAACACCUGCCCGAAGUCCAGGCCCGGCCCCACUGCAGUCCAGGACCCUAAUUCUCGAGUGUCUCUUCACGACCCUGACCCCGGAAGGGCGCUCCCUUGCGAACGAAUUUUUAAUUCUGCGGACUGGGAUCCCUUGUAGGGGCCCCUCCGAGGGCCCCUCCCACCCCUUUCCCUGGACUAGCGAACUCCGACCCUAAGCGCGGCCCCGCAGGGAGCGGAUCCCGGAAGCUAGGCCCAUAUCCGGCCGCGGAGCCUUGCGCGCGGGGUUGGCUGCCGGGAGGUCGACGCUAGUGCGGUCCCCCGCGCGGCGGAGGGGCCCGGGCCGCGGUAUCUGCGCACUGAGACGUCGGCGGAAGGCUAGAGGCCGUGCUCUCGCCCCCGCAGAAGGCCACCACUCCUUGAGAAGGCCGGAGGGACAAAGCACCGGGCCUGCGCCGGGGGCAUUCAAGAAGGAAGCCAGGCCCGACCGGGGGUGGCGCACGCUUCCCGAACCCCAGGCCCACGGCCCGGUUCCGCGCGGGCAGUUGGCGCCCCCUCGGGUCGGCACAGCAGACCUCUUAGUAAUGGUCCCCAGGGAGUACAGGGACUGAGAAACGGAAAUACUACCAUCCUCCAGCCAAUCUGUUGGGAGGACUGCUUGCAGAGGACUCGUGCUCCAGAUGUUGCACUAGAGGCGCUGCAAGUGUGAGCAGCAGGUAGAUGAAACUCAAGAGAAAAGGUGUGGAUAAAUGAAACUAGCCCAUGAUGAACCUGUUUUCUCCGUGACCACAAUAUUAACCAGGAUGAAUGGCGGUGGCAGUGGGCCUGCAUCACAGGUUGCAGCAGAUGUUCUCAAUAUUUCUAUUAAAAUUUCCUUAUUUCCAUAUGCAAGAGGAGCCCCAGAGCUGCAUCCUUAUGGUAGCUACCAUGCCGUGAUGUAAGCUGCCAUUCACUGGGGAGCUUUGGCAAUAGAAUUGGCUAGAUCAGGAAGCCUAUGUCAACUAUGGAACAACAACUUGCAGCUCAUCUCUAUUG
rnacentral:lncRNA from 1 species